UACGUAGGGGGCGAGCGUUGUCCGGAUUUAUUGGGCGUAAAGAGCUCGUAGGCGGUUUGGUAAGUCGGGUGUGAAAUCUCCACGCUCAACGUGGAGGGGCCACUCGAUACUGCCAUGACUCGAGUCCGGUAGAGGAGUGUGGAAUUCCCGGUGUAGCGGUGAAAUGCGCAGAUAUCGGGAGGAACACCGGUGGCGAAGGCGGGUCUCUGGGCCGAUACUGACGCUGAGGAGCGAAAGCGUGGGGAGCGAACAGG
rnacentral:rRNA from 1 species